UACGUAGGGACCGAGCGUUGUCCGGAUUCAUUGGGCGUAAAGAGCGCGCAGGCGGCCCGGCAAGUCGGGUGUGAAAUCCCGGGGCUCAACCCCGGGACUGCAUUCGAUACUGUCGGGCUAGAGGUAGGUAGGGGAGAUCGGAAUUCCUGGUGUAGCGGUGAAAUGCGCAGAUAUCAGGAGGAACACCGGUGGCGAAGGCGGAUCUCUGGGCCUUACCUGACGCUCAGGCGCGAAAGCUAGGGGAGCGAACAGG
rnacentral:rRNA from 1 species